rnacentral:rRNA from 1 species
AUGCAAGUCGAGCGGUAACAGGUGUAGCAAUACAUGCUGACGAGCGGCGAACGGGUGAGUAAUGUUUCGGAAUCUGCCCAAUGGUGGGGAAUAACCAGCCGAAAGGUUGGCUAAUACCGCAUACGCCCUACGGGGGAAAGCGGGGGAUCGCAAGACCUCGCGCCGAUGGAUGAGCCGAAACCGGAUUAGCUAGUUGGUAGGGUAACGGCCUACCAAGGCGACGAUCCGUAGCUGGUCUGAGAGGACGACCAGCCACACUGGGACUGAGACACGGCUCAGACUCCUACGGGAGGCAGCAGUGGGGAAUAUUGGACAAUGGGGGAAACCCUGAUCCAGCGACGCCGCGUGUGUGAAGAAGGCCUGCGGGUUGUAAAGCACUUUUAGUGGGGAUGAAAAGCUCAGGGCUAACACCGCUGAGUCUUGACCUAACCCACAGAAAAAGCACCGGCUAACUCUGUG